rnacentral:rRNA from 1 species
UACAGAGGGUGCGAGCGUUAAUCGGAAUUACUGGGCGUAAAGGGCGCGUAGGCGGAUAAGCAAGUGAGAUGUGAAAUACCCGGGCUCAACCUGGGAACUGCAUCUUAAACUGCCUAUCUGGAGUACUGUAGAGGAUAGUGGAAUUUCCGGUGUAGCGGUGAAAUGCGUAGAGAUCGGAAGGAACAUCAGUGGCGAAGGCGACUGUCUGGACAGAUACUGACGCUGAGGCGCGAAAGCGUGGGGAGCAAACAGG